CGCGAAUUCGCCCUUCGGGGUGCACCAGGCGCGAAAACUUUACAAUGCCGGCAACGGCGAUAAGGGAACCUCGAGUGCCAGGUUACAAAUCUGGCUGUCGUGAUGCCUAAAAAGCAUUGCAUAGCAAGGGCCGGGCAAGACCGGUGCCAGCCGCCGCGGUAACACCGGCGGCUCGAGUGGUAACCGUUAUUAUUGGGUCUAAAGGGUCUGUAGCCGGCCGGGUAAGUCUCUUGGGAAAUCUGGCAGCUUAACUGUCAGGCUUUCAGGAGAUACUGCCUGGCUCGAGGCCGGGAGAGGUGAGAGGUACUUCAGGGGUAGGGGUGAAAUCUUGUAAUCCUUGAAGGACCACCAGUGGCGAAGGCGUCUCACCAGAACGGACCUGACGGCAAGGGACGAAAGCUAGGGGCACGAACCGGAUUAGAUACCCGGGUAGUCCUAGCCGUAAACGAUACUCGCUAGGUGUCGGCCACGGUGCGACCGUGGUCGGUGCCGUAGGGAAGCCGUGAAGCGAGCCACCUGGGAAGUACGGCCGCAAGGCUGAAACUUAAAGGAAUUGGCGGGGGAGCAC
rnacentral:rRNA from 1 species